CCAGGUGUGCUGGGACCAGGUCUCACACAUAUGAUGAAUCAUGGCACAAGAUCGAAUGUCACAACUUUACUAUAUAAUAGGAAUUCUAUACAAAAUAAAUAAUUGCAUAUAAGGAGACAACGGUCCAGCAACCCAAAGUUGACUGGGAGACGACGACCUAGACCUCUCACGAACACAUCACAGCAUCCUCCAAGCGCCUCAUCCAGCGGUACCUGUUCUUGACCUGUGGGGGGUGUGAGACAGCAAGAGUGAGCUCACAUACGUUCAUCGCUCAACAAGUUGUGGGGAAUAAUGUGCAUGAACUCGCCAAAGGUGGGAGCUCACGUGAAGUGUAAGGCUUACCAAAGAGGAUGGUUAGAGCUGAGCAUUGCUUUUAAAGUUGGUCAAAAUUUUAUUAGCAAUUACUAAGUAUAAGUAAAUACCAACCCAAUUAAGUAGUAGAACAAAAGUAACAACAUCACCUGCGAUGCAAUGCAUAUGACAAAUUGAAUUUAAGUUUCAUAAUUUAAUCAUCAGAGAGUCCUGAGCUGCUCAUGACCGUGAGCUCGGCUAGUAUACCAGUUUUACACUCUGCAGAGGUGGUACCCUUUACCCACAAGUCAUGUUACCCAUCUGCCAAGGGAUCGCGACUUCCCAUACACCUCUACCGAGGAGACGAGGCAGGGUAACACUACGAGGCCUUUACAAAGUUCCACUAGCUUCAGAAAACCCGCUACAGUUUAUAGGAAGCUCCAAUGCAGGGUUCUUGCCCGACCGCCAUCGCAGCAAAAUCAACCAAGGACCUCCCUACACUAACCACUCCCCUACUGCCCUUGCCCCUUUCGAGUAAGGUAGUCCUCCACUAGCUUUCCUAAUUAAUCAGCCAAGGGCGUCCAUAAACCCUUGUGGUGGCACGUGUUUCUCAAGUUAAGCUCUAUGUUCCAAUUAACAUUAAUGAUCUUAACAUGAACAUAAAUAGAAUAACAAAAUAACUGGAACAUAGACAUGAUAAAUAAUUAUCCCAAAUCCAUGUAAAGCAAUAGCAAACUACCCAAGUGAUUCAGGGGUAAACAAGGUAAUGAGAUAAACAAUCUAGGGUAACCUAUUGGGUCCCAUCAAAAUUAACAUAUGCAUGAAUAAAUGAUAUUAAAGAACAUUAUUGGGUAACAAAAGUGAAUCAAGGGCACAACUUGUCUGGGACUUGAGAUUUCAGGUACCAGGAUGAUCUUCAGGUGACUCGUGACCUCACGCUAGUCGUAGCAAUACAAAAAAACAGUGUAUAGACAAAAUUAACAUUACACCAAACAUAAGUACAAACUGAAUAAUAAUAAUCUACGUGUCGCUACGAGACUAACGCAACUUGAACGGAUCAAAUCGGAGUUAAAACGAAGCAUUUACGAAUUUCCUAAGGUUUUAUGUAUUUGAUACGAGAUUAAUUAAGAGAUAAAUUUUAAUACAGCUUUCAUGUCAAACCAGAGGUACUAUGUGAUAAACAAUAAUAUUAUAGAAUUAUAGGAAUUGGAAUGAAUCAAUUUGGACAUCAUAUGAAUUUUCUAUGAUUAAUACAAGUUCUAGCAUUUAGUUUUACACUAAAAAUCCAUUUCUAAUCUAAUUUCUCUGAUUUUCCAACUUUCUGGACUAGGCCUCAAUUACCUGAAAAGGCAGGGGCAUCGGGGUAACAUUUCUAAGACACAGGAAACAGUAGCCAUGGACUGCGGGUUCUAAUUUGCCUAAACCGAGGGGUUCUAGUGAAAUUGGGCCCGCGAAGGGGUAUCGUGAGAUUCUGGCCGUUCGAUCAGAAACUACAGGCUCCGAUUAGAUCACAAUUUUCUCCAAGCGGUACACCUCGCUAGCCGCCAGAUCUCGCAUCGACGGUUCUGAUUCCCUGAAACACUCGUCGCCCCGAACUCUAAUCCCAGUCGCCCAACUAAGAUCCAAUGGUUACAAACAUCUCCCCUUUCCCUACCAUCCGAGGCUGCUCACCCAGGAAUCAACGGCUAACACGCCGUCUUCUCCACGGCGCUAUCCGCCGCUGCGCACACCAGGCAGGCACAGCCCCGCCCACGGCCGCAGACGCCCCCACCGAUGCGCGCAGUAAUCACGCCACCACGUCAGACCUAGGUCGAGCGAUGGUGAUACCACGCCCCGCUACGCCGAGCCGAACGCCAACCCAGAUUAAGUCUAGCCGCUAAGGUGAGCUACGCCAGGAAGAAGAAUAAGGCGAGAACGUGGGGGUGUUCCUUACCGAGGGAUUGCGCGACGCAGGAGACCACAGCCGAAGUCUUACGGCCCGACGAUGCCGAUGUGGAUCCACCACGGCGGCCGCAUGCUCUACCCCUACUACGACGGCGACUCUAUUUGUCGAUGUGGAGGGUCACUGAUUGUCGCAUCCAAGGUAUGCGGCGGCCGUUCUUUUUAUAUCCCGAACGCGAGGCCGAGGACCCAGUCAAAUCCCACCGACCCGCCGAAAUCGCGGAUUCUGUUAGGCUUCGGUGCUCGUUUCAACGAGGAAGACGCCUGGAAUGCCAGACCCACCACGCAGCAACCCAAAGCGAGGCAAGCGUGCGUCCAAGGCAGCCAGGUGGGACCCACCGGUCGGUCCUAGGCGCACAGCGCGCAGCUCCCCUGGCGGAGGUUGAGCAGCACGUAGAUGCAUCCCUGGUCCAUAACUCCAUACGGUUCAGAAUACGGAGCAAUACUCGGGCCUAGUCAUCAGUGGUACAAUCGCACCUAGAGAUGAGGUCACUACUAACGUCGGCAUGACCUCACCACUCAUGAAUACAUUAAACAAUUCCGGCAGCUCGUCAAUUGUGUGCGCAAGCAUGUGGUUUCCAGCCCAGGUCUGUUGGGUGAGCCGAGCCAGAGCUCCAUGGCCCAGGUAACGUGUUUCUUUUUUUUAUUUCUAUUUUUUUGUUGUUUUCUAAUUUAAAUCUCUAAAUUCGAAUUUGUGAUUCAAACUUAGAGUCAAAGUCAUCAUGCCCAAUCAAAAUAUCCAGCAUGCUGCAAAGUUUUUAUUUUUAUUUUAAUUAUAUAUAUAUACUCAUUGCUUUAUUCAUUUUAAACAACUACUUCCAAGUGUAUAUUUUAUACCCACCAAAUAUAUGUUGUAAUAAAAUAAUUUCUAUUGCACAAAUUUAUUGAUAGUUAUUUCAGAUACAUUUCUAAAUAUUUUAUCUAAAAAGAAUAACUUAAUUUUAUAUUGAUUUUUUUCGUAUUAUUCUAUUAGAAAUCCCUAGUAAUAUUUUUGAUUGCUACAAAUUCUACUUUUCAAACUUAAACUUGUCUUAAAAUUUUGAGUACAAAGGUAAACAUGUAAGAACUCCAUCAUGAGGUGCAUAAUUCUAUAUCUAUUUAUUUUGUUAUUUGGUCAAUAUAAUUAUAUUAUUUGAAUAUGCACACAUAGAAGAAACUCAAUUAAUCUCCCAAGGUUCCAUAAAUUCCUCAAGACAUUAACUUAUACUAUAUUUAUUUAUUUAUUUAUAUCCUUAUUUUUUGUUGAUACAAAUUUUGGGCUCUACAAAUCCUACCCCCUUAAAAAGAAUCUCGUCUCCGAGAUUUGUAAGUAAAGGGAUACAAUAGGUUUGGUCUAGAAUUUUAGUUUCUCAUUUGGUUUUGGGAAUCAAAGUUUUGUUCAAGUUUUUACAUAUGAAUAUUGUAUGUCUAGACAUUUAUUAGGUCAGAUGAGGUACGGUUAUGGCAAGUAGAGGCUGUGGCAAGGGUAUAAUAAGGAAAGACUUCAUCCUGAACUCUGGAUCUUGAUUCCUCUCGCGAUCUAACUUGAUCUUUGAAGACUUGAGUUGAUGCUUAUCUUCCUUUGACGUGGUUGGUCUUCUUUGGCCUUUAUUCUUGGAGUUAUCAUCCGAGUUAAUGACAUAUGGUUAAGAUAGUUGUCGGUGCUUGGAUGGGUAGGCCCAACAAGUUUUACUUUGCUUUUGGGAUAAAUGGGUUGGGCAACCUAUAACAUAGGCUAGGUUGUGGUUUCACGGACGAGUUGGUCUAAGACACCAAUUCAGGUUUAGCACCCAUUUAUAGGAAUAUAAUCUAAUCUAUGUUUCCAGUAUUAACUAGCUUGUUUAAGUAACUUAGAUUAUAGUAGUUCAACUUAAGGUUAGACUUCGUUAGGUUGGAUUAAUCUAUCACAUCGGAUCAGAUCUAGGUUAGAUUGUUAUGACUAGAUAGACUAGAUAAAAUCUCAUUAAUUAGAUCCUGGUUGUUACUUUAGGAUGAGAUAAGUAGAGUGGUUAGGAUAAGAUGAUUCCUUCAAGAUAAGAUGAAUCUAUUGGGAUAAGAGAGAAUCUUUUAAGAUAAAUGGAUCUAUAUGAAAUAGAUACACUUUAAUGGAGGAUAAUCUAGGUUGUUUAGUUAUCUCAUGAAUUUUAUUCAUUUAUAUUUAUGCCUAUAUGUAUAUGUAGAUGUAAUUGUGGAUAUUACUCCACAACUCAUCACACUCAAUCAAAGAUCCAAAUCAGACAAGUAUCAUAAGAACAAGCAUUCAAACACAUAGAUACCUAUAAAAAUAGUUUUGUUUUUGUUCCUAAGAUUAGGUCUCCUAGUCCUAAGAGUCACUUUAGGUACAGGAUUUCAAAGUGUGAAAUCCACAUUUGUCUUUAGAAAGAAAAGAUAAGAAUAAUCAGAGUAAGCGGAAUUAGAUGAGAAAAGAUUAAGAAAAGUUUAGAAAGAAUCAGAGUAGCAAAGGUAAGUAAGUAUUUGUUGUCCAGUUCUGUCUAGGUUUCGUCCUACAGUCAACAUUGCUCUGAUACCACUUCUGUCACACUCGGGUUUCGGGGCACCAAGACCCGGGCGCGAACAUAAUCACCAGGUGUGCUGGGACCAGGUCUCACACAUAUGAUGAAUCAUGGCACAGGAUCGAAUGUCACAACUUUACUAUAUAAUAGGAAUUCUAUACAAAAUAAAUAAUUACAUAUAAGGAGACAACGGUCCAGCAACCCAAAGUUGACUGGGAGACGACGACCUAGACCUCUCACGAACACAUCACAUCAUCCUCCAAGCGCCUCAUCCAGCGGUACCUGUUCUUGACCUGUGGGGGGUGUGAGACAGCAAGAGUGAGCUCACAUACGUUCAUCGCUCAACAAGUUGUGGGGAAUAAUGUGCAUGAACUCGCCAAAGGUGGGAGCUCACGUGAAGUGUAAGGCUUACCAAAGAGGAUGGUUAGAGCUGAGCGUUGCUUUUAAAGUUGGUCAAAAUUUUAUUAGCAAUUACUAAGUAUAAGUAAAUACCAACCCAAUUAAGUAGUAGAACAAAAGUAACAACAUCACCUGCGAUGCAAUGCAUAUGACAAAUUGAAUUUAAGUUUCAUAAUUUAAUCAUCAGAGAGUCCUGAGCUGCUCAUGACCGUGAGCUCGGCUAGUAUACCAGUUUUACACUCUGCAGAGGUGGUACCCUUUACCCACAAGUCAUGUUACCCAUCUGCCAAGGGAUCGCGACUUCCCAUACACCUCUACCGAGGAGGCGAGGCAGGGUAACACUACGAGGCCUUUACAAAGUUCCACUAGCUUUAGAAAACCCGCUACAGUUUAUAGGAAGCUCCAAUGCAGGGUUCUUGCCUGACCGCCAUCGCAGCAAAAUCAACCAAGGACCUCCCUACACUGACCACUCCCCUACUGCCCUUGCCCCUUUCGGGUAAGGUAGUCCUCCACUAGCUUUCCUAAUUAAUCAGCCAAGGGCGUCCAUAAACCCUUGUGGUGGCACAUGUUUCUCAAGUUAAGCUCUAUGUUCCAAUUAACAUUAAUGAUCUUGACAUGAGCAUAAAUAGAAUAACAAAAUAACUGAAACAUAGAUAUGAUAAAUAAUUAUCCCAAAUCCAUAUAAAGCAAUAGCAAACUACCCAAGUGAUUCAGGGGUAAACAAGGUAAUGAGAUAAACAAUCUAGGGUAACCUAUUGGGUCCCAUCAAAAUUAACCUAUGCAUGAAUAAAUGAUAUUAAAGAACAUUAUUGGGUAACAAAAGUGAAUCAAGGGCACAACUUGCCUGGGACUUGAGAUUCCAGGUACCAGGAUGAUCUUCAGGUGACUCGUGACCUCACGCUAGUCGUAGCAAUACAAACAAACAGUGUAUAGACAAAAUUAACAUUACACCAAACAUAAGUACAAACUGAAUAAUAAUAAUCUACGCGUCGCUACGAGACUAACGCAACUUCAACGGAUCAAAUCGGAGUUAAAACGAAGCAGUUACGAAUUUCCUAAGGUUUUAUGUAUUUGAUACGAGAUUAAUUAAGAGAUAAAUUUUAAUACAGCUUUCAUGUCAAACCAGAGGUACUAUGUGAUAAACAAUAAUAUUAUAGAAUUAUAGGAAUUGGAAUGAAUCAAUUUGGACAUCAUAUGAAUUUUCUAUGAUUAAUACAAGUUCUAGCAUUUAGUUUUACACUAAAAAUCCAUUUCUAAUCUAUUUUCUCUGAUUUUCCAACUUUCUGGACUAGGCCUCAAUUACCCGAAAAGGCAGGGGCCUCGGGGUAACAUUUCUAAGACACAAGAAACAGUAGCCAUGGACUGCGGGUUCUAAUUUGCCUAAACCGAGGGGUUCCAGUGAAAUUGGGCCCGCGAAGGGGUAUCGUGAGAUUCUGGCCGUUCGAUCAGAAACUACAGGCUCCGAUUAGAUCGCAAUUUUCUCCAAGCGGUACACCUCGCUAGCCGCCGAAUCUCGCAUCGACGGUUCUGAUUCCCUGAAACACUCGUCGCCCCGAACUCUAAUCCCAGUCGCCCAACUAAGAUCCAAUGGUUACAAACAUCUCCCCUUUCCCUACCAUCCGAGACUGCUCACCUAGGAAUCAACGGCUAACACACCGUCUUCUCCACGGCGCUAUCCGCCGCUGCGCGCACCAGGCAGGCACAGCCCCACCCACGGCCGCAGACGCCCCCCACCGAUGCGCGCAGUAAUCACGCCACCACGUCAGACCUAGGUCGAGCGAUGGUGAUACCACGCCCCGCUACGCCGAGCCGAACGCCAGCCCAGAUUAAGUCUAGCCGCCAAGGUGAGCUACGCCAGGAAGAAGAAUAAGGCGAGAACGUGGGGGUGUUCCCUACCGAGGGAUUGCGCGACGCAGGAGACCACAGCCGAAGUCUUGCGGCCCGACGAUGCCGACGUGGAUCCACCACGGCGGCCGCAUGCUCUACCCCUGCUACGACGGCGACUCUAUUUGUCGAUGUGGAGGGUCACUGAUUGUCGCAUCCAAGGUAUGCGGCGGCCGUUCUUUUUAUAUCCCGAACGCGAGGCCGAGGACCCAGUCAAAUCCCACCGACCCGCCGAAAUCGCGGAUUCUGUUAGGCUUCGGUGCUCGUUUCAACGAGGAAGACGC
rnacentral:lncRNA from 1 species